AAGUCGUAACAAGGUUUCCGUAGGUGAACCUGCGGAAGGAUCAUCAAUAGUUCCAAAAAUUAUUAUACCUUCUUGUGAACUGUUUUGUUGUACGGAUGUUCAUAUGGUGUCUAUUAUUGUUGUCUGUCUUGAUGGAUGAUGAUGAUGAUAAUGAUGCCGUGUGAAUGUCUAUAUGUCAUCAUUACAAACUCUGUUUAAAAUAUAUAAAAGUCUAAUGCAGUUAAGCAUGUUGUAGUAUUUUGAACUGUUAGCAAUAACGGUGAUUUAUACGCAAUUUGUCAUUAUAAACUAAUGUCAAUACAACUUGCAGCGAUGGAUCUCUAGGCUCUG
rnacentral:misc_RNA from 1 species